rnacentral:sRNA from 1 species
ACUGGGUGCAGUGGUGCACGCCUAUAAUCCCAGCAUCUCGGGAGGCUGAGACAGGAGGAUUGCGAGUUCAAAACAAGCUUCAGCAACCACAAGGUGCUAAGCAACUCAGUGAGACCCUGUCUCUA